CCACUUACCAUCCUGGCUUUGGCAGGGUCGUGGCAUCCAGCUCUCCAUGUCCAUGAUGAUUAGCUGCCCAGAGAAUGAAGAAGCCGAGUGCAGAAAACAGCAUGGGAGCUCUGCUGAGCUGGAGUGUUCCAGAAAGGAUUUGCCACCAUCCUUACUUGCAGGGGUUUGCUCAUUAUAGAUCCAGUUCUGAAGUUCAAGUGCAUGAAGACAAUGACAG